CCCUUGAGGAGGCCUAAAAUGAAUGAACGCGGCUGUGCCUCCUGAGCAGGCUCACAGUUGUGGGUGGGGGACAGAAGGGUGUCCAUGCCUAAGGUCGACGGCGAUAAGACAGACGUUCUUCCCAGGAGGAGAUCAGUUCCAGAGACGGAGGUCUCGCUAUGUUGCCCAUACUGGUCUCAAAAUUCCUGGCCUCAAGUGAUCCUCCUGUCUCAGUCCCUGAAAUGCUGGGAUUACAGAACAGGUGGAGAGGUAUGAAGAACGAGGAACACUGCCCGGGGAGUUCCUUCCUCUGCAAAAUAAGGGAGUGUGUACUGAAUGACCGUUUCCAGCUCCAACAUCCAGGAUUUCAGCACUACCUGCAGAGUAGUGGGAGGAGAGAUAGAGGAAGAAGUGAAGAUAAGAAAUCCCUUGAAGCCAGUGUCUGGUGCUGGGACCGUGAUGGCUGGGACGGCAGCAGUAGUGCUGUCCAUCUGCUCGUCCGAGGGGUGGCACAUCCUAGCCUCUAUCUUUUCCCCAGAGAAGAUCCCCCUCGUCUGCUCUUCCCCCCGUCUCAGCCUUUUAGUGUGUGAACAGUUCUGGUGUGACUCAGCAGCGCUUUUGUUAGCGCUUUUACCAGCAAGUACUUGUUAAACACUUAAAUCUUACAAGUGGAAAGAAAAUUCCGUGGUAAAUUUAAGUACAAAAGUCAACCAAAAUUCUGAGUCUCGGACAAGACUGGUUAAAAAUCGUUCUACAAUGAAACUAAUAUAUUAAAUUAAAUCAUAUAAAACUUUUA
rnacentral:lncRNA from 1 species